CCUGCAACAUUUGCACUAGGUUAAAUGUCAAUCGUAUUGAUUGUUUAACCCUAGAAUGAUUCUUAAUCAUUAAUCAACCAUCCGAUCGGAUUGUGAACUCUAAUGUGUGUGACCUCAUAGGUCUGAACCUAAGUCGGUAGUACAGAAAUAAAUUUUUGUACCAAUCAAAGUGACCAUCAAGCAAUAGUACCCGACGGUCGGAUAGGUCGAAUGUGUAGAACAACAUCCUU
rnacentral:lncRNA from 1 species